AUUUAAUAGCAGGGGAGCUUGUAGGCAGGCUGAGAGGAAGUAAUCAACUUCGACCCUUUAACCUGAUUUGGAUAAUGCCAACGUAGGGAAUAUAAAAGGAUUCAUUA
rfam:Eubacterium sp. CAG:161 genomic scaffold, scf94